rnacentral:rRNA from 1 species
GACGAACGCUGGCGGCGUGCUUAACACAUGCAAGUCGAACGGGCCUUGUCCCCUUUUUUUUGGGGGUGGGGUUAGUGGCGAACGGGUGAGUAACACGUGAGUAACCUGCCCCUCACUUCUGGAUAACCGCUUGAAAGGGUGGCUAAUACGGGGUGUUCUGGCCUGCUCGCAUGAGUGGGUUUGGAAAGAUUCGACCGGUUUUGGUUGUUUUGGUGGGGGAUGGGCUCGCGGCCUAUCAGCUUGUUGGUGGGGUGAUGGCCUGCCAAGGCUUUGACGGGUAGCCGGCCUGAGAGGGUGGGCGGUCACACUGGGACUGAGACACGGCCCAGACUCCUACGGGAGGCAGCAGUGGGGAAUAUUGCACAAUGGGCGCAAGCCUGAUGCAGCGACGCCGCGUGAGGGAUGGAGGCCUUCGGGUUGUGAACCUCUUUCGCCAGUGAAGAAGGUCCUGCUCUUUGUGGUGGGGUUGACGGUAGCUGGGUUAAUGAAGCGCCGGCUAACUACGUG